UGUUAGUAAGUGCUUAAGGGCGCAUGGUGGAUGCCUUGGCAUCGAGAGCCGAUGAAGGACGUGGGAGGCUGCGAUAUGCCUCGGGGAGCUGUCAACCGAGCGUUGAUCCGAGGAUUUCCGAAUGGGGAAACCC
rnacentral:rRNA from 1 species